AACAUUUAGAAAUUCUGUGGGCGUCGACGCGAACAGCAAAUGACAAUAACAAGACAAGGAAAACAGUAGUUCACAUAAGCAGCAUCAGAGACCAUAGAUUCUCCAAUUAAGGGGAAAACCCAGUUCACCAAAUUUCCAUAAAAUGAGAGAAGAGAGCAAAUACCAAUUCUCUGGCACGCUUAGCCCGGCGUCGAAUCGAGCGAAAGAGAAAUACAUUGAUAGCUCCCGUGAGGAGCAAACUGGUGGCGACCUGCAACGGAGAAGGGUCGUCUGUGGUGGCGAAUAAGUUGGAAGAAGACGACGGUAGCUCUAUUGGACGCUCUUCCGCCGUGGUGUUGGUGGAGUGUUGGAGCUCGGCGAGCCAUGUGUCCAACAUCAUUUGUUUGCGCAAUUGUGGAGCUUUAAAAGCAAAGCAAUUUGGGGUUCUUCUGUUUCUCUUUGGGUCAGUUCUUGUGGUUAUCUUUUUGUGUGUAUUGAGAAUAAUAUAACCACUUUGGUGAUCCCUACUUGGUGAAUCUCUGUGUGUCAAACCAUAUGGACUUGGGAGGUUUUGAGUUUAUCAGUUCUGACACUCAAUAAGCCAGCUACUGCUAAUUUUGGCAGCAUCAGGAGCCCAAUCCUGCAUCAUAAUUAGAACAUGUUCGGUGCUUUGAAUCGUUUAGAAAAUGGUAUCGACGAGGCAGCCAAUUCAUACCAAAUCGAAUAUAUGUAGCUGCGAUGAAAUGUAUGGAAGCUCUAGAAAUCUGAAGGCAUGAUGUGCAGGUGAAAUGUGUAAGUAUUCACUGCUGUAAUACUUGCUAAAGCUGUUGAUCCUAAUACCUAAUAUAUAUAUUCACAGUAGUAAUACACUCUGCACUGUGUCUUCUGCAACUAAGGAGAUCAUAAGAUCUGCAGAUUUCUACGUGCACGUCUGCUUCUAUAUCUCUAGAAAGUGAUUUCUGAACAUGAACUGUUAAAUUCUGGUCUUACCCUUGGUAGGAAACUACAUACAUUACUGAUAUUACCUAAAAUGUUGUGUUU